rnacentral:rRNA from 1 species
GACGACGCUGGCGGCGUGCUUAACACAUGCAAGUCGAACGAGUGGCGAACGGGUGAGUAAUACGUGGUAACCUGCCUGAUGGAGGGGGAUAACUACUGGAAACGGUAGCUAAUACCGCAUACCAUCAGAUGUGCCCAGAUGGGAUUAGCUAGUAGGUGGGGUAACGGCUCACCUAGGCGACGAUCCCUAGCUGGUCUGAGAGGAUGACCAGCCACACUGGAACUGAGACACGGUCCAGACUCCUACGGGAGGCAGCAGUGGGGAAUAUUGCACAAUGGGCGCAAGCCUGAUGCAGCCAUGCCGCGUGUAUGAAGAAGGCCUUCGGGUUGUAAAGUACUUUCAGCGGGGAGGCGUUACCCGCAGAAGAAGCACCGGCUAACUCCGUGCCAGCAGCCGCGGUAAUAC